GGCGGGGCGUAAGACUGCGGAGGAGGAGAUGGCUCUCUCAGGGUCCCGUGCACAGCAGCGCACCCCGACCACAUGUGUGCGCCACCACGUCCAUCUCGUUUGGGCAGAAUAAGGAGGGAAGGCUCGGUAAGAUGGACCCGCCCACCCUCCAGGCCCGGUAAGAUGGACCCGCCCACCCUCCAGGCCCGGUAAGAUGGACCCGCCCACCCUCCAGGCCCGGUAAGAUGGACCCGCCCACCCUCCAGGCCCGGUAAGAUGGACC